rnacentral:miRNA from 1 species
ACCAUCGACCGUUGGCUGUGCC